rnacentral:rRNA from 1 species
UACGGGGGGAGCAAGCGUUGUUCGGAUUUACUGGGCGUAAAGGGCGCGUAGGCGGCCACCGCAAGUCGGUUGUGAAAUCUCUGGGCUUAACCCAGAAAGGUCAACCGAUACUGCGGGGCUAGAGUGCAGAAGGGGCAACUGGAAUUCUCGGUGUAGCGGUGAAAUGCGUAGAUAUCGAGAGGAACACCUGCGGCGAAGGCGGGUUGCUGGGCUGACUCUGACGCUGAAGCGCGAAAGCUAGGGGAGCGAACGGG